GCUCAAGUAGGUGUUGGAGAGAAGCUUGUGAAUGAAAGGGAGGAUAUAGACCUGCUUUCAACUGCACACGGGAUACCCACCCUGCAGCCCCACAAGCUGUUCUCUCAUCUUGCCAACUUCUGGCCUGAGCCCCUCCAAGAGACCCUCACAGAGAAACAGCCCGAGAACCCCCACCUUCCCUGGGAGUGGGGGCAGAAGAGCAAGGAAGAAUGUUUGUGUGGGGCAAACCUGCUGCUGAAGAUCCUUCCCACUGGCCUGAUCUCUGACCUUUCUAGAAAGAUUCUAUACCUCAAGGGCUAGAAAAGAAUGUUUCCCUGA